rnacentral:rRNA from 1 species
UACGGGGGGGCAAGCGUUGUUCGGAAUUACUGGGCGUAAAGGGCUCGUAGGUGGCCAACUAAGUCAGACGUGAAAUCCCUCGGCUUAACCGGGGAACUGCGUCUGAUACUGGAUGGCUUGAGUUUGGGAGAGGGAUGCGGAAUUCCAGGUGUAGCGGUGAAAUGCGUAGAUAUCAGGAGGAACACCUGUGGUGUAGACAGCUUACUGGACCAUCACUGACGCUGAAACACGAAAGCGUGGGUAGCAAACAGG